GAAGGUAUAGCCCAGUGGUAGAGCAUGCAUUUAGCAUGCACAUGGUCCUGAGUUCAAUCCCCGGUACCUCCA
rnacentral:tRNA from 1 species